GACGAACGCUGGCGGCGUGCUUAACACAUGCAAGUCGAACGGAAAGGCCCUGCUUUUGUGGGGUGCUCGAGUGGCGAACGGGUGAGUAACACGUGAGUAACCUGCCCUUGACUUUGGGAUAACUUCAGGAAACUGGGGCUAAUACCGGAUAGGAGCUCCUGCUGCAUGGUGGGGGUUGGAAAGUUUCGGCGGUUGGGGAUGGACUCGCGGCUUAUCAGCUUGUUGGUGGGGUAGUGGCUUACCAAGGCUUUGACGGGUAGCCGGCCUGAGAGGGUGACCGGCCACAUUGGGACUGAGAUACGGCCCAGACUCCUACGGGAGGCAGCAGUGGGGAAUAUUGCACAAUGGGCGGAAGCCUGAUGCAGCAACGCCGCGUGCGGGAUGACGGCCUUCGGGUUGUAAACCGCUUUCACCUGUGACGAAGCGUGAGUGACGGUAAUGGGCAAAGAAGCACCGGCUAACUACGUG
rnacentral:rRNA from 1 species